rnacentral:misc_RNA from 1 species
GAUGAAGAACGCAGCGAAAUGCGAUAAGUAGUGUGAAUUGCAGAAUUCAGUGAAUCAUCGAAUCUUUGAACGCACAUUGCGCCCCAUGGUAUUCCGUGGGGCAUGCCUGUUCGAGCGUCAUUUACCCCCUCAAGCUCCGCUUGGUGUUGGGCGUCUGUCCCGCUUCGCGCGCGGACUCGCCCCAAAGGUAUUGGCAGCGGUCGUGCCAGCUUCUCGCGCAGCACAUUGCGCUUCUCGAAGCACCGGUGGGCCCGCGUCCAUCAAGCUCACCCCCCCAGUUUGACCUCGGAUCAGGUAGGGAUACCCGCUGAACUUAAGCAUAUCAAUAAGCGGAGGA